rnacentral:misc_RNA from 1 species
UACGGAGGGGGCAAGCGUUGUUCGGAAUUACUGGGCGUAAAGGGCGCGUAGGCGGCCGACACAGUCAGGCGUGAAAGUCCCGAGCUCAACUCGGGAAUUGCGCUUGAUACUGGUUGGCUAGAGUCCGGAAGAGGGUAGUGGAAUUCCCAAUGUAGAGGUGAAAUUCGUAGAUAUUGGGAGGAACACCGGUGGCGAAGGCGGCUACCUGGUCCGGCACUGACGCUGAGGCGCGAAAGCGUGGGGAGCAAACAGG